rnacentral:tRNA from 1 species
GGCUGUCUGGUUCAGUUAAGAGAACAUCAGACUCUUAAUCUGAGGGUCCAGGAUUUGAGCCCCUGGUCAGAGUCA